rnacentral:lncRNA from 1 species
AUGGUACCAGAAGUUAGAAAGAGAAAGGUUUAUUUAUUUGAUUAAACAAGGUAAAAUUACCAAAUUACCCUCAUAAGGUUUUCAAACAUAAAGUAAGUUUUUUAUAUUAUUUUAAUGUAAAGGGCACAUUUCGUAUAAACAUAAAGGACGUCUUUUAUAAUUUAGUCAAUAAUUUAGGUAACUAGUUAGAACAAAUUUGUUAAACUCUUCUUUAUAUAACAUAAUAUAAAGACAUCCACCUAUAUUUUACAUCAUAUAAGUAGCCUAUUUCCAUUUUUAUUGAUUACUUAUAAAUUCGUUAUGAUUAUGUUAAUACUCGUUCUGUUCGCUUCACGUACGCUUUGUAAGUUACAUACAAUAAGUUUAAAGUGUACACAAAUAUAAUUUUUGAGGC